rnacentral:tRNA from 1 species
AGGCAUAACUACGGUCUCAGCUAUUCCCUUGGUAAGGGAGAGGUCGACAGUUCAAUCCUGUCCGGCAGCACCA